rnacentral:lncRNA from 1 species
GUGAGCACCCGUGGGAUUCCCGGAGGUUAUUUGGGGAUGGGAGCACCCCGGGAAAGAUGGACUUCCCGCGUUUGGGUGCCUUGGGCCCCUCGUCGCUGGGGUUUGAGUGUUCCUGGCGAGGCGCUGCUGUUCUGAGCCCAGACCAGGGGGCGGUGAUGCCCUGGGGACUCCUCAAGGGCAGGCCCUCGCCAUCCCUGGGCGGUCCUGGGUUUCUCCCCGUGCUGACUUCGUUUCUUCUCAGGAGAGGACAGAGCGGGCUGCCACUGUCACUGCUGUGCUGUGUAGGUGCAAAGCCCAGGGCCAGAACCCCCUAGCCAGGGGAGGUGCAGCCCAGCCUACCGUUCACCUGGACAGGAAGCAGGCAGGGACCAGGGCUGCCUCUCAGAGCCGGGCAGGUGGUGCCUGGUUUACAAAACCCAAAUUCAGGGAGAAGAGAGACCUGACCUGCAGCUUCAGAUCCACGCCUAGGCCGGGAGAAGUGGCUCGUGCCUGUCAUCCCAGCACUGCGGGAGGAUCCCCUGAGACCAGGAGUUCGAGGCUGCAGUGAGUCUCACCCGUGCCACUGCACUCCAGCGUGGGAGACACCGUGAGCCUUGUCUCUAAAACAAACAAACAAAGAUGCACACUGAUGCCUGUUCUCCACUUCUCUCCACAACGCUGCCUCCUAAUGAGGCUAUGAUGAGGCUCAAUUCAGCCGGAUGUUUGUGCUCACGUGCUCACAGCGGCACUGGCCAUGGCAGCUGGGGAGGGAGUGGAUCCCGUGUGCGGGUGCAGAGAUGGAUGUGCUCCCUGCGCAGUGGGGCUGCGUUCAGCCCUCCAGAGGACGGGCUCUGAUGUGCUGCCCGUGGACCCGCCCUGUGGACACGGUGAGACCCGCCCUGUGGACACGGUGAGACCCGACAGUCAGGAAAGGAUGAGCGCUGUGUCCUUGCACUCACAGGGAGUCCCACGGCCGUCCGAUUCCUAGAGGCAGAAAGUCGAAUGGUGGGGGUGCCAGGGGUUGGGGAGGGGCUGGGGAGUUGGUUUACUGGGGACAGAGUUUCAGUUUAGGGAAUGGGAAGUUCUGGAGAUGGAUGAUGGUGAUGGACACCAAGCAGCUCUUCAUGCCGUGGAACUAACUGUGCACUUAGGAAUGGGGAAAAUGGUACAUUUCCUGUUACAUGUAUU